GAAAGAACAGCAACUCCGAAUAGAUCCCAGUGGGCAACCCUCGUAACAUCGGAGCCCUUGGACCUAUUCGGAGUUGCUGUUCUUUCGUUUUCCCGGCGAACCUACAGGAUCACCAUCAGGCACACGAAGACGACGAUCACACGGCGACAUGGGGGAGGAGAAGAGGCACCAGAUGAUGCAGAAUCUCUUUGGAGAUCAAUCCGAGGAGGAAGAAGAGAUUGAUUCCGAGCACGAGUCCAAUCCGCAACCCAAUUAUGCCUCUGAUGAAGGGGAAGGAGGGGCGGAGCCUGAAGGUGAAGGCGAAGUGGAGGGACAGGGGGAGGUGGAAAUCGAGAGUGAAGGUGAGUUGCAGGAUGUGGAUCCGGAUCCUGGAGAAAGUGAGGGUGAAAGGGAUCAAAGUUCUCAAGAAGUAGACGUGGGUCACCACAGAGAAGAAGAAAGUGAAGGGAAAGAGGUGGAUAGCGACGAUAGGGAAGAAUAUAGUCAAAGAGUGGUAACAAGCAGGAGGCAUGAUUUAGUUGAAAGUGAAUCGGAGAGGUCUGAAGAAAAUCACUACAUUGACAAUGAAGACGAAGAGGUGGAUCAAACUAGGAGUCCAAGGGAGGAGAGGGAUCACAGUUCACAUCCAGUUGCUGAAAUUCGCGAUGUAUUUGGUGACUCUGACGAGGAAGAGGAAGCAGAAUAUGCAGUUGAAAAUGAUAUUAAGCAAGACUCGGCUAGGUCACCUAUGGAAGAGGAGGGGAGCUUUGAGAAGAGUCCAAGACAAGAUGAUAUCAUUCCUGAUGAAGAUGCUCGGUAUGAGUCAGAUGCUCGUUAUGAAUCAGAAGAGGAAAAUUUUGAGGUCAAACAUAAAGAGAAGCCAGUUGGGCCUCCAUUGGAGCUAGAGAUUCCAUUACGUCCUCCUCCUGCUCGCCCAGAAAAGAUGAACAUGAUAAAAGUUUCCAAUAUUAGGG
rnacentral:misc_RNA from 1 species